rfam:Bdellovibrionales bacterium RBG_16_40_8 RBG_16_scaffold_6077, whole genome shotgun sequence.
AAGCGGGUGUGAGUCCCGCAAGCAGAAUUGUCCGGUUGCUGCUUUAGCCUGGAUCAAUCGCGUGGGUGGUGAUGCUUACGCGAUAGGCUGAUCGACAAAAUGCCUGAAGGGUUCGUGUCAGGUGUUUGGCAAUUCGGCAGGUCGUAGUGAAA